rnacentral:sRNA from 1 species
CAUGUGAUGGCUGCAGAUUAUCGUCGCCGCCGCAAUACUUCCAUCACUGCUGCAAAAACUUGUUCAAUGCCGUUAUGUCCAAUGCUGGAAAUUCACUUACGGCAGUAAGCACUGCAAGCCCAAGCUUAAUGGCAUCAUCCUUGCUCGGCGCCUGUGCAUGCACAUGGGAAGAACUGGGUCAUGGAGGGAUAACCGCAAUAAGAACCAGCCACCAUAUCC